rnacentral:lncRNA from 1 species
AUGAAGCUGACCUGGGCGGGGAGGGUUGUCCCUGAGGACAGAGGGGCUGACCCUUACCACGGCCUCUUCCACUCCUGUUUUAUUCUGAACCCAACCCCAGCCAGAGAGGACGCGGGAAUGAGGGUUUCAAGCCUUCCUGGCCUUGUGCCAGGGUUCCUGGUGUUAUUUUUAGCGAUCUUACAUGAACUGUGUGCCCCCCCCUUAGCCUUUUUUUCUUUUUAUUCUUUCCAGGCAGAGCCAGGCCGAAAGGCAAUGAGCACCGCACGCCCAGCGCGUGCGUGGGGAGGGCGCACGGGGGCGGGGGGUGGGGCGCGUGGCCCGCACUGCACGAGGUCCCCUUUGCGGGCUCCGGCCGCCCGCCAGACAAAGGCCGCAAGUCCCGGGGCCAGGGCGCCAGCCACGCGGGAGCCGAGCCUGCGCGCCCCAAGCCCACCUCCGCCCGGACCCGCGCCCGCCGCAGAGGAGAAUCCCCCGGCUCCCCGCGCCAUCUGGGGCCUCCCGCAGCGCCCCGCUCGCGCCGCAGGAACUGCAGCCGGCCCGGCCCCUCCCGGGCCCAGCAGCCACAGGCCCCGGCGCCCCGCGAACCGCCAGCCUCGCAGAGAGGGCGCCCCCGGCCCCCAGGAGCCAGUGGCCCCCGCCCCACAGCCCCCACCGACCACAAUACGCACCCGGGUCCCGCCGCGGGGGCCGGAUUCGCGCUGGGCCCAGGAGCCGCCGCUGCCGCCGCCGCCGCCGCCGCUGCCAGUGAGGCGGGGCGGGGCGGAGACGCGCGGCGAGGCCCGGCCCCCGGACCGCCCCCGAACCCCCGGGCCGCGCCUCCCGACCGCCGGACCGCACCCCCAGUCCCCGGGCGGCCCCCCCAAGCCCCCAGUCAGCAGCCUCCAGUCCCCCGGCCAGUCCCCUGAGUCCCCGGGCAAUACCCCCAACCCUGAUCUGCCCCCUGGACUUCUGGACCACGCCCCCAGACCGCCCCCAACCCGGACCGUCCCCGGAACCCUCGGGCCGCGCCUCCUGACAACGGGACCGCACCCUCAGUCUCCCAGACCGCGCCCCCUGGACCGUCGUGAACCCAGACCGCAUUCCCAGUCCAGUCCCCGGAGGCACCCCUAG